UCCCCGAUAGCUCAAUUGGUAGAGCGAGCGGCUGUUAACCGCUAGGUUGGUGGUUCGAGUCCACCUCGGGGAGCCA
rnacentral:tRNA from 1 species